UUAUUCUCUUUCCUUUACUCUUUCUUUCUUUCUUUCUUUUCUUUCCUUCCAAACACACACGGCUAUUCCAACACACACCGUAACAAUGAUAAGAGCAGCAGCAAAUUUUUCUUCAAAAAGAAGAAAAAGAAAAA
rnacentral:ribozyme from 1 species